GUUCCGUUUACACUAACUCCGGAACUUAAAACGUGCAGACGGAGCGCGUGCAAGAAAGCUGAGAGCCCCUCCAUGACCAGAAGGAUGCAGACUGUCAGCACAGCAAAGAAGGCGAAAAUCACAAAGAGGACUACAGCUCCCACGUAACCUUGCCACCUCAGCGCAAUACGCAUGACCAUCUCCCACAGCACCUCUGACAGCUCUGUGGAGACACAAGUGAAUCACUGUUAGAGAAUCACAGCUGGCUGGAAAACAACAACAUGAGUGUGUAUAACUAGAGAAAUAAAAUGGAUUAAAAAAAAGAA